UCGACGGCUAGGGUUUCUGGUCUCCGGGAAUUCUCUGCAGAGCUUCGCUUCAAUUUCUGGGUGAGGCAAAAAGGGAGACUGCAUCUCCUUUUUAUAGGAAAGAGGAAGGGAAAACCCUAGGUCUUUGCCAAAUGGGCCGUAGAGAAGCCCAUAUUCCUAAAGAAAUUUAUGGGCUAGGAACCGGGCCGUUACAAUUCCG
rnacentral:lncRNA from 1 species